rnacentral:rRNA from 1 species
GAUGAACGCUGGCGGCGUGCCUAAUACAUGCAAGUCGAGCGAACGGACGAGAAGCUUGCUUCUCUGAUGUUAGCGGCGGACGGGUGUGUAACACGUGGAUAACCUACCUAUAAGACUGGGAUAACUUCGGGAAACCGGAGCUAAUACCGGAUGAUAUUUUGAACCGCAUGGUUCAAAAGUGAAAGACGGUCUUGCUGUCACUUAUAGAUGGAUCCGCGUUGCAUUAGCUAGUUGGUAAGGUAACGGCUUACCAAGGCAACGAUGCAUAGCCGACCUGAGAGGGUGAUCGGCCACACUGGAACUGAGACACGGUCCAGACUCCUACGGGAGGCAGCAGUAGGGAAUCUUCCGCAAUGGGCGAAAGCCUGACGGAGCAACGCCGCGUGAGUGAUGAAGGUCUUCGGAUCGUAAAACUCUGUUAUUAGGGAAGAACAUAUGUGUAAGUAACUGUGCACAUCUUGACGGUACCUAAUCAGAAAGCCACGGCUAACUACGUG